AUAAGAGAUCUUGGAUGAGUAAUAUGUAAUUUUUUUUUUCUAAUAUAGUGUUUAACAUGAUAUUUAUCUGAAUGACCAUUCGGAUUCAUAUUUCAAUUUAUUUUGAAUUUUCAAUUCGAAUUAUAAAAUAUUUGUCUGAAUGACCAUUCGAAUCACAUAUCCGAAUUUAUUUUGGAUUUUCAAUCCGAAUCACAAAAAAAAGAAAAAAGAAAAAAAGAACAGUAGAAGUACUACGCUAGAUUUAACUGUUUAGUUAAAAAUAGUCAUCAUUACCUUAUACUACUAAUAAGUGUUUAUAGUUUAGUUAAUUUUUUGGUUUACUAGAAAAGGACAGGGAUUAAAUUGCAAAACCGGAAUAUUACAGGGAAUAACCGUACAUUUUAACCUCGAGUAAAUAAUAUUAUAGUUAAAACAAAAAAAAAGCGUCAUACGCCGGCGACAGGCGUCAAAGUACGGAUGUUUCCUCCCUUUCACCUCUCUCUCUCUCUCUCUCUCUCUCUCUCUCUCUACACUUUCUCUCUCUACCUUCCCAACCCCCAUAAAAAAAAAGAAAAAAAGAAAAAAAAAAUUCCAUGAGCAAGCUUCAUAGUUUUUAGUUUUUACCUCCCCCUCUCUUUUUCUCUCUCUCUUUCUCUCUCUCUCUAUCUCUCCCCAUUCUCAUCCCAUUCCCCACCAAAUUCCAAUUCCAUUUCCAUCUCCAUCUCCGCUUCCGUUUCCUUCUCCUGCAUCCCGACGAUACCAUCAUCCUCGCUGUCACCCAAAAUAUUAAAAAAAAAAACAGAGAGAAGAAGAUUCCCAUCUUCUUCUUUUGCGCGCUCUCGAAAUCCAAACCCUAACGUUAGAUCUGAUCCGAUGAUGAUGAUGAUGAUGACGACAUAGGAUGCAUGGAUGGGUUUGGGUUGGUGUUUUUCUGAUGAGAAUAGCAGUCGUGUGCUGCAGGCGGGGGUGGUGGGGGUGAAUUUGUAGAAGAUGGGGUGCGGGGGGUCGAAGCGGAGGAGUGUCGGAGGCGGUGGCGCACUGCCG
rnacentral:lncRNA from 1 species